UUUGUAUCAUUUUGACUGCGACCUGUUACAAAGGACAAGAGGUUAAGUUGUUUUCACCAAACUGCGCCAUACAAAACCAUAAAACGUUCAUGACAACAAAACUAAACAUGAAAGCUAUGUGCCAACAAAACUAAGAUCCACCAGAAGUCCAGAAGUGAAAUCCUACAAGUAGAUUAUGACUUAAGCCCUUCUUAACUGAUUAUAAUGAAACUGAAAGAGUGGUGAUCAUCACACCAACAGAAGAUCUAAGAAUACUUUUGAGUACAAAAAACAUGUAUAUAUUACCAGAGAUGGAGUCCAAUGCAAG